CAGUAUUCUUUUUGCCAGCGCUUAAUUGCGCGGCGAAAAAACCUUACACACUAUGUUUUUUGUUAUUACAAGAACUAUUGCUUUGGUCUGUCUCUAGAAAUAGAUUUGGGCCAGAGGUUUAACUAAACUUCAAUUUUAUAUUGAAUUGUUUCUAAUUUAAUUGUCAAUUUGUUGAUUAAUUUCAAAAAAUCUUCA
rnacentral:misc_RNA from 1 species